rnacentral:rRNA from 1 species
AGAACGAACGCUGGCGGCGCGCCUAACACAUGCAAGUCGAACGCUCCGGUUUCGGCCUGGGAGUGGCGGACGGGUGAGUAACGCGUGGGAACCUGCCUUUCGGCUCGGGACAACCGUGGGAAACUACGGCUAAUACCGGAUACGCCCUGGACGCAAGUCUGGGAGAAAGAUUUAUCACCGAAAGAUGGGCCCGCGUCCGAUUAGCUAGACGGCGGGGUAAUGGCCCACCGUGGCUUCGAUCGGUAGCC